rnacentral:rRNA from 1 species
GUGGGGAAUAUUGGACAAUGGGCGCAAGCCUGAUCCAGUCAUGCCGCGUGAGUGAUGAAGGCCUUAGGGUUGUAAAGCUCUUUCAGUAGGGACGAUAAUGACGGUACCUACAGAAGAAGCCCCGGCUAACUUCGUGCCAGCAGCCGCGGUAAUACGAAGGGGGCUAGCGUUGUUCGGAUUUACUGGGCGUAAAGCGCACGUAGGCGGAUCGUUAAGUCAGGGGUGAAAUCCCAGAGCUCAACUCUGGAACUGCCUUUGAUACUGGCGAUCUUGAGUCCGGAAGAGGUGAGUGGAACUCCUAGUGUAGAGGUGGAAUUCGUAGAUAUUAGGAAGAACACCAGUGGCGAAGGCGGCUCACUGGUCCGGUACUGACGCUGAGGUGCGAAAGCGUGGGGAGCAAACAGGAUUAGAAACCCCGGUAGUCC